GAUGAACGCUAGCUACAGGCUUAACACAUGCAAGUCGCGGGGCAGCAUGGGGGUUGCUUGCAAUCCCCGAUGGCGACCGGCGCACGGGUGAGUAACGCGUAUCCAACCUGCCCUUCACCACGGGAUAACCCGGCGAAAGUCGGACUAAUACCGUAUGUUGUCCAUUGACGGCAUCCGAUUUGGGCGAAAGGUUUGGCGGUGAAGGAUGGGGAUGCGUCCGAUUAGCUGGACGGCGGGGUGACGGCCCACCGUGGCGACGAUCGGUAGGGGUUCUGAGAGGAAGGUCCCCCACACUGGAACUGAGACACGGUCCAGACUCCUACGGGAGGCAGCAGUGAGGAAUAGUGGUCAAUGGGCGUAAGCCUGAACCAGCCAAGUAGCGUGCAGGAUGACGGCCCUAUGGGUUGUAAACUGCUUUUAUGCGGGGAUAAAGUGGCCCACGUGUGGGUUUUUGCAGGUACCGCAUGAAUAAGGACCGGCUAAUUCCGUG
rnacentral:rRNA from 1 species